GAUGAAGAACGUAGUGAAAUGCGAUAAGUAAUGUGAAUUGCAGAAUUCAGUGAAUCAUCGAAUCUUUGAACGCACAUUGCGCCCCCUGGUAUUCCGGGGGGCAUGCCUGUUCGAGCGUCAUUUCACCACUCAAGCCUCGCUUGGUAUUGGGCAACGCGGUCCGCCGCGUGCCUCAAAUCGACCGGCUGGGUCUUCUGUCCCCUAAGCGUUGUGGAAACUAUUCGCUAAAGGGUGUUCGGGAGGCUACGCCGUAAAACAACCCCAUUUCUAAGGUUGACCUCGGAUCAGGUAGGGAUACCCGCUGAACUUAAGCAUAUCAAUAAGCGAAGGA
rnacentral:misc_RNA from 1 species